CCUACGGGAGGCAGCAGUGGGGAAUAUUGCACAAUGGGCGAAAGCCUGAUGCAGCAACGCCGCGUGAAGGAAGACGGUUUUCGGAUUGUAAACUUCUGUUCUUAGUGAAGAAUAAUGCGGGAAACUAAGGAGCAAGCCACGGCUAACUACGUGCCAGCAGCCGCGGUAAUACGUAGGUGGCAAGCGUUGUCCGGAAUUACUGGGUGUAAAGGGAGCGUAGGCGGGAAGCAAAGUCAGCUGUGAAAACUACGGGCUUAACCUGUAGACUGCAGUUGAAACUGGCGGUCUGGAGUGAAGUAGAGGUUGGCGGAAUUCCGGGUGUAGCGGUGAAAUGCGUAGAUAUUCGGAGGAACACCGGUGGCGAAGGCGACCAACUGGGCUGUAACUGACGCUGAGGCUCGAAAGUGUGGGGAGCAAACAGGAUUAGAUACCCUUGUAGUC
rnacentral:rRNA from 1 species